AUUGCCCUAGUAACGGCGAGUGAAGCGGCAACAGCUCAAAUUUGAAAUCUGCCUUCGGGCCGAGUUGUAAUUUGUAGAGGAAGCUUUUGGUGAGGCACCUUCUGAGUCCCCUGGAACGGGGCGCCAUAGAGGGUGAGAGCCCCGUAUAGUCGGAUGCCGAUCCAAUGUAAAGCUCCUUCGACGAGUCGAGUAGUUUGGGAAUGCUGCUCAAAAUGGGAGGUAAAUUUCUUCUAAAGCUAAAUACCGGCCAGAGACCGAUAGCGCACAAGUAGAGUGAUCGAAAGAUGAAAAGCACCUUGAAAAGGGGGUUAAAUAGCACGUGAAAUUGUUGAAAGGGAAGCGUUUGCGGCCAGACUUGCGCCGCCCCGAUCAUCCGGUGUUCUCACCGGUGCACUCGGGGCGGCGCAGGCCAGCAUCGGUUUCGGCGGGGGGAUAAAGGCCCGGGGAACGUAGCUCCUUCGGGAGUGUUAUAGCCCCGGGCGUAAUGCCCUCGCCGGGACCGAGGUUCGCGCAUCUGCAAGGAUGCUGGCGUAAUGGCCGCCAACGACCCGUCUUGAAACACGGACCAAGGAGUCAAGGUUUUGCGCGAGUGUUUGGGUGUAAAACCCGCACGCGUAAUGAAAGUGAACGUAGGUGAGAGCUUCGGCGCAUCAUCGACCGAUCCUGAUGUAUUCGGAUGGAUUUGAGUAAGAGCGUUAAGCCUUGGACCCGAAAGAUGGUGAACUAUGCUUGGAUAGGGUGAAGCCAGAGGAAACUCUGGUGGAGGCUCGCAGCGGUUCUGACGUGCAAAUCGAUCGUCAAAUCUGAGCAUGGGGGCGAAAGACUAAUCGA
rnacentral:rRNA from 2 species